rnacentral:rRNA from 1 species
UACGUAGGGUGCAAGCGUUGUCCGGAAUUAUUGGGCGUAAAGAGCUCGUAGGCGGUGUGUCACGUCGGCCGUGAAAACCUGCAGCUUAACUGUGGGCGUGCGGUCGAUACGGGCAUCACUGGAGUUCGGCAGGGGAGACUGGAAUUCCUGGUGUAGCGGUGAAAUGCGCAGAUAUCAGGAGGAACACCGGUGGCGAAGGCGGGUCUCUGGGCCGAUACUGACGCUCAUGCACGAAAGCGUGGGGAGCAAACAGG